GAUGAACGCUGGCGGCGUGCCUAAUACAUGCAAGUCGAGCGAACGGACGAGAAGCUUGCUUCUCUGAUGUUAGCGGCGGACGGGUGAGUAACACGUGGAUAACCUACCUAUAAGACUGGGAUAACUUCGGGAAACCGGAUCUAAUACCGGAUAAUAUUUUGAACCGCAUGGUUCAAACGUGAAAGACGGUCUUGCUGUCACUUAUAGAUGGAUCCGCGCUGCAUUAGCUAGUUGGUAAGGUAACGGCUUACCAAGGCAACGAUGCAUAGCCGACCUGAGAGGGUGAUCGGCCACACUGGAACUGAGACACGGUCCAGACUCCUACGGGAGGCAGCAGUAGGGAAUAUUCCGCAAUGGGCGAAAGCCUGACGGAGCAACGCCGCGUGAGUGAUGAAGGUCUUCGGAUCGUAAAACUCUGUUAUUAGGGAAGAACAUAUGUGUAAGUAACUGUGCACAUCUUGACGGUACCUAAUCAGAAAGCCACGGCUAACUACGUG
rnacentral:rRNA from 1 species